rnacentral:misc_RNA from 1 species
AAAAAAAAAAAAAAAAAAAGCUGUCUAAAGCUCUCAGUGAUCACAUACAUAACAAUGUUGAUUGAUGUAUAGUUAGCAAACACCAUAAAAACCCAAUUUGACAAUUAUAGAAACGGCUGGUGUAGCAUAUUGCAUAUAUAUUUCCUAUAAGCCAAUAUGCAUUUUAGUUAUCCUUUGAACAUCUCCAUCACGCUUGGAAGGUAAAUAUAGCAUUCUCUGAUGGAAGCAAUAAAAUUUUAAACAGCACAUGACAUAAUUGUUUUCAU